AUUGAACGCUGGCGGCAUGCUUUACACAUGCAAGUCGAGCGAGCGGCGGACGGGUGAGUAAUGUCUGGGAAACUGCCUGAUGGAGGGGGAUAACUACUGGAAAGGGUAGCUAAUACCGCAUACUAUCGGAUCUGCCCAGAUGGGAUUAGCUAGUAGGUGGGGUAAAGGCUCACCAAGGCAACGAUCCCUAGCUGGUCUGAGAGGAUGACCAGCCACACUGGGACUGAGACACGGCCCAGACUCCUACGGGAGGCAGCAGUGGGGAAUAUUGGACAAUGGGGGAAACCCUGAUGCAGCCAUGCCGCGUGUAUGAUGAAGGCCUUCGGGUUGUAAAGUACUUUCGGCAGGGAGGCGGUAUCCGCAGAAGAAGCACCGGCUAACUCCGUGCCAGCAGCCGCGGUAAUUC
rnacentral:rRNA from 1 species